CAAGAAAUAGUUUAAUAAAAAUAUUAGUUUUGGGAAUUAAUGAAAGAUAUAGUAUCUUUUCUUGA
rnacentral:tRNA from 1 species